CCGGAGGCAGCGGAGUCUGCUGCCGCCGGGCUCCAGUGCUGUAGGGGGCACCUAGAUCCAGCCUCCUCCAUUGCACUCUGACCGCAGGGCCUUAACUAGGGUAGUGCGGAUGGUGUUCAGACCACAUUUGCCCUGUGGGCACACCAUCCGCAGGCACCCGCCGAUGCGUGCGGUACCACGGUUACGCCACUCUACUGUCCUCCCUCCCACCUCCUCCCCCCAGCCAGUCAUCUCAAUCUGCAAUCUUCCACCAAACCACGCCCCCUUGUGACAAUCGUGGAAGUUCUUCCCCGCCACACAGAAACAGGACACCGUGACAGGCAGCUGAUCAUCCUGGUGUCCACACCGCACAGAUUGUACAUUACGGAUGACGAGGUAGUCACGAGACCAGAAGCGAGUGACGCGGCCGGGGGGUCGUCGCAUGCGGUGACGUCAUCCGGAGGAGUACCGAGGCGUUCAGAAGUUGAGGCAGGUGUCCUGUUUACAGUACACUACUUAAAUGCAGUUGUGAAAGCGGAAUAGAGGUGGGCGACGUUAAGUUGAUGGGAGGAGAAAUGUACUAGAAGGUUCAACCAGUAGCGGAUUUACCACUAGGCAACAAAGGCAACUGCUUAGGGCCUGUCAGGUCCCAGGGGGCCCGCUCAGUGCCGGAUUAACAAUGGGGCGGAUGGAGCUGCAGCUCCAGGUCCUCCGUGCAAAUAAUGCCAAAGUAUCUGCUGCAGAUUGUCCCCCUGUCAGGCACCGAAACGUGACUAGCAUCAGUCUAGAAGAAUCGCAUAAGGGGUAGUGCCACCUGCCAGCAGUGUCAGCCAGUUCAACCACUGCCCCCCCAUCUUGCUGCCUUCCUCUGGGCCCAGUAGCAGCACGGUGUGGCUGGGAGUGAGGACCAGUGUGGCAGCAGGGAAGGUAGUGAGGCAGAUAGGAUGUCUGGAAGCAAGGAAAGAGUGUGGCUUUUAUGGUGCCGCCUGGCAUCAGGCAUGGUGACUGGCCACCUUUAAAGAGAUUACAUUUCAACACUGUUAUUUCUGGAAUACACUAUGUAGCCCUUCUCUAACUCUUGAUACCUGCUUCAAGGAAAAACCCCAGUGAUGGAAGACACCAACAAAGAGAUAGACUUUGAGGGCUCAGGUAACACCAGAACUACUUUUUUUCAACAAAACUGUUAACAGAGCCGACCCUAGCUAUAGGCAGACAAGGGAAUUGCCUAGGGCAUCUGCUUUCACCUAGUGGCUAGCUCAGUAAUCAUUGAUGGUAGUGGGGCACCCGAUGUUCUGUGCCCGCCGGUGGCUCUGCUCUUAUCUGAGCAGAGCCGCCAGCGGUAGCGCCUGAGAGUGUACCUGCGGCUACUCAGUCACCCACUAUCUCCCUGUCUCCCUAUCCCCAACUAUCUCGGAGGGGGGGAGGGCACCAAACAGAAUCUUGCCUAGGGCAUCAAAUUGGCUAGGGCCGGCUCUGACUGUUAACAUGUGUCCUUCACCUUUUCUAGGCAAUGCCAGUGACCUUAUUCCAUACUUGAGCCAAUACUUUUACAGGACCACAGCAAUAUCAGUGCAAAACACUCUAACCAAAGCAUUCGGAUCUCAGUCGAAAUCCAGGAACUACUGAUUAGUCGAGUGCAGCUCUUCCAGCCAUACGGAACUGAUUGACUGUGUAGCUCACACUACAUGAGACUGUUACACCAUGUUAGUUUCUCAAUAGCAUUGUAAGUUCUUACUUGUCCUGUUCUUACUAUUUUCCGUUUCUACUGUAUUUCAUGGUGUAACACCAAUAAAAUAACUUUCAUACAUAA